GUGUUUAGGGCCUGAUCUAAAGCUCAUUAAAGUCAGUGUAGUCUUUGCAUUGACUUUAGUGGGCUUUAGAUCAGUCCAUUAGUGC
rnacentral:pre_miRNA from 1 species